GAAAUACUGCAGCUUUCUGGACUGCAUACCCUGCUCCCUGGAGAGGUUCCACCCACCGGCUGGAAGGAGAGGAAGUGAAUGAAAGGACAGGAGGAGCCGGAACACCAUGUCACUCUGGAAGGGAGACAGCAGCAACCAGGCUGUGCAAGUGAGUGGUGGAAGACGAAGGAUCUCUGAAGCCUCAUCAGUCAUCGGGACCAUCAGGAAUAGUGGUUUAAGAGGACGCUCGGCCUGGGGCACUAUACCCUGUCAUCGAGUUCCCUGCCUCGGAGAUAAAGAUUCCAGCUACAUGGGUAAACGCCUGGAUCAGCCACAAAUGUACCCCCAGUACACUUACUACUAUCCUCACUGUCUCUAAACCAAGGUAUGGCUCGACCCACAGUCUGGCAAGCAGUGUGGUGAUCAAGACUCUAGAGACUGAAGUUUGGAGCUUUACAAUAGAUGUUCUUUACUUUUCGAAGCUCUGUUUUUCUGUGCUGGCUGCCAUCAGGAGGCCUGUGGGUCUUGAAACGGGAUGAAAUAUAACUGAUGAUAAUUGGACACGAAUUGGUUAAAUACUUCAGUCUUGGGAUCCCUGGGUGGCGCAGUGGUUUGGCGCCUGCCUUUGGCCCAGGGCAUGAUCCUGGAGACCUGGGAUCGAAUCCCACGUCGGGCUCCCGGUGCAUGGAGCCUGCUUCUCCCUCUGCCUAUGUCUCUGCCUCUCUCUGUGUGUGUGACUAUCAUAAAUAAAUAAAAAAAUUUAAAAAAAAAUUUUAAUACU
rnacentral:lncRNA from 12 species